GAUGAACGCUGACAGAAUGCUUAACACAUGCAAGUCUACUUGAAUUUGGGUUUUUUAACUUAGAUUUGGGUGGCGGACGGGUGAGUAACGCGUAAAGAACUUGCCUCACAGCUAGGGACAACAUUUGGAAACGAAUGCUAAUACCUGAUAUUAUGAUUUUAAGGCAUCUUAGAAUUAUGAAAGCUAUACGCGCUGUGAGAGAGCUUUGCGUCCCAUUAGCUAGUUGGAGAGGUAACGGCUCACCAAGGCGAUGAUGGGUAGCCGGCCUGAGAGGGUGAACGGCCACAAGGGGACUGAGACACGGCCCUUACUCCUACGGGAGGCAGCAGUGGGGAAUAUUGGACAAUGGACCAAGAGUCUGAUCCAGCAAUUCCUGUGUGCACGAUGACGUUUUUCGGAAUGUAAAGUGCUUUCAGUUGGGAAGAAAAAAAUGACGGUACC
rnacentral:rRNA from 1 species